CCGACGGGUGGCAGCAGUGGGGAAUAUUGGACAAUGGGCGAAAGCCUGAUCCAGCCAUGCCGCGUGUGUGAAGAAGGCCUUCGGGUUGUAAAGCACUUUCAGUGGGGAAGAAAGCCUUGGGGCUAAUACCCUCGAGGAAGGACAUCACCCACAGAAGAAGCACCGGCUAACUCCGUGCCAGCAGCCGCGGUAAUACGGAGGGUGCGAGCGUUAAUCGGAAUUACUGGGCGUAAAGCGCGCGUAGGCGGUCUGAUAAGCCGGUUGUGAAAGCCCCGGGCUCAACCUGGGAACGGCAUCCGGAACUGUCAGGCUAGAGUGCAGGAGAGGAAGGUAGAAUUCCCGGUGUAGCGGUGAAAUGCGUAGAGAUCGGGAGGAAUACCAGUGGCGAAGGCGGCCUUCUGGACUGACACUGACGCUGAGGUGCGAAAGCGUGGGUAGCAAACAGGAUUAGAUACCCUUGUAGUC
rnacentral:rRNA from 1 species